rnacentral:rRNA from 1 species
CACAUGCAAGUCGAGGGGUAGAGUUAGCUUGCUAACUUGAGACCGGCGCACGGGGUGCGUAACGCGUAUGCAAUCUACCUUGUACAGGGGGAUAGCCCAGAGAAAUUGGGAUUAAUACCCCAUGGUGUUUAGAAGUGGCAUCACUUUUUUACUAAAGUUCCAACGGUACAAGAUGAGCAUGCGUCCCAUUAGCUAGUUGGUAUGGUAACGGCAUACCAAGGCUAUGAUGGGUAGGGGUCCUGAGAGGGAGAUCCCCCACACUGGUACUGAGACACGGACCAGACUCCUACGGGAGGCAGCAGUGAGGAAUAUUGGUCAAUGGUCGCAAGACUGAACCAGCCAUGCCGCGUGCAGGAAGACGGUCCUAUGGAUUGUAAACUGCUUUUAUACAGGAAGAAACCCUCUCACGUGUGGGAGCUGACGGUACUGUAGA